rnacentral:misc_RNA from 1 species
GAUGAAGAACGUAGUGAAAUGCGAUACGUAAUGUGAAUUGCAAAUUCAGUGAAUCAUCGAGUCUUUGAACGCACAUUGCGCCCCCUGGUAUUCCGGGGGGCAUGCCUGUCCGAGCGUCAUUGCUGCCCUCAAGCACGGCUUGUGUGUUGGGCCCCGUCCUCCGAUCCCGGGGGACGGGCCCGAAAGGCAGCGGCGGCACCGCGUCCGGUCCUCGAGCGUAUGGGGCUUUGUCACCCGCUCUGUAGGCCCGGCCGGCGCUUGCCGAUCAACCCAAAUUUUUAUCCAGGUUGAUCUCGGAUCAGGUAGGGAUACCCGCUGAACUUAAGCAUAUCAAUAAGCGGAGGA